CAAGAGCGAAGAACACGCGUCUCUUCCGGGUCGGGGAAGGCCGUCACUUCCGGUUAUGGGACUACGUCACUUCCUCUGAAGCUUGGCGUUGGGUCCAUGGUUCCUCACGCGGGUUCAACAUGCGUAUCGAGAAGUGUUAUUUCUGCUCGGGGCCCGUCUAUCCUGGCCACGGCAUGAUGUUUGUCCGCAAUGAUUGCAAGGUGUUUAGAUUUUGUAAAUCCAAGUGUCAUAAAAACUUUAAAAAGAAGCGCAAUCCUCGAAAGGUCAGGUGGACUAAAGCAUUCCGGAAAGCAGCUGGUAAAGAGCUUACAGUGGAUAAUUCAUUUGAAUUUGAAAAACGUAGAAAUGAACCUGUCAAGUACCAGCGAGAGCUAUGGAAUAAAACUAUUGAUGCAAUGAAGAGAGUUGAAGAGAUCAAACAGAAGCGCCAAGCUAAAUUUAUAAUGAACCGAUUGAAGAAAAAUAAAGAACUACAGAAAGUUCAGGACAUUAAAGAAGUCAAGCAAAACAUCCAUCUUAUUCGAGCCCCUCUUGCAGGCAAAGGAAAGCAGCUGGAAGAGAAAAUGGUACAGCAGUUACAACAGGAUGUGGACAUGGAAGAUGUUUCUUAAAAAUCUCACUGCACCCAUUUCUAUAUGUACAUUUGAAACUAUCCUUAGGACUUAAGCACCAGGACUUCGGAGACUUAGGACUUCUAAAUUAUUGACUUAUUUUUUACAUAAAGUCACUUAAAUGAAAAGUGAUUAAAAAUCAUUCUUUCUACUUUCUUCCUUAUCUCAAUCUUGCAUUAUUCCUGUGGCAUCGGCACAGACUCACCUCCCCUUAGUGGACCCUUUCAUCAAUAAAUGUUGACUAAAUGGAAAAUGAGUGUGUAGCUAUAUGCUAGGUUUACUUCUCACCUUGGCUUCUGUCUAUUUGUAAAUUACCAGUAACUUGAAGGAUAUAAAAAAUUAACAGCAGAGAGAUACGCCAAGAAUGGAAGCAGACUGUGACCCUGACAUCAAUCAGUUCUGCGCUGUUGGGAAGGCUUGCUGGAGAGCAGUGUUGGCCUUGGGUUACAUUCCUGAUUUUGCCGCUUAGAUCAUUAUUUAAUGGUAACAGAACAAUCAAAGCUGUGUUUCUGAGUCUGGCUGGAGCAGUCGUAUGUCAAGGAAUCCCAGGAAAAACAGCAUGAGGUAUUUUUGGCAGAUUUCUUAAGAACUUUUGCCCAGAACUUGUUCUGUUGCUGGAAAAGUUCC